rnacentral:rRNA from 1 species
UNGGAAUUACUGGGCGUAAAGCGAGCGCAGACGGUUACUUAAGCNGGAUGUGAAAUCCCCGGGCUCAACCUGGGAACUGCGUUNUGAACUGGGUAGCUAGAGUAUGUCAGAGGGGGGUAGAAUUCCACGUGUAGCAGUGAAAUGCGUAGAGAUGUGGAGGAAUACCGAUGGCGAAGGCAGCCCCCUGGGAUAAUACUGACGUUCAUGCUCGAAAGCGUGGGUAGCAAACAGGAUUAGAUACCCUGGUAGUCCACGCCCUAAACGAUGUCGAUUAGCUGUUGGGCAGCUUGACUGCUUAGUAGCGUAGCUAACGCGUGAAAUCGACCGCCUGGGGAGUACGGUCGCAAGAUUAAAACUCAAAGGAAUUGACGGGGACCCGCACAAGCGGUGGAUGAUGUGGAUUAAUUCGAUGCAACGCGAAGAACCUUACCUGGUCUUGACAUGUACGGAACCUUCCAGAGACGGAAGGGUGCCUUCGGGAGCCGUAACACAGGUGCUGCAUGGCUGUCGUCAGCUCGUGUCGUGAGAUGUUGGGUUAAGUCCCGCAACGAGCGCAACCCUUGUCAUUAGUUGCCAUCAUUCAGUUGGGCACUCUAAUGAGACUGCCGGUGACAAACCGGAGGAAGGUGGGGAUGACGUCAAGUCCUCAUGGCCCUUAUGACCAGGGCUUCACACGUCAUACAAUGGUCGGUACAAAGGGUAGCCAAGCCGCGAGGCGGAGCCAAUCUCAUAAAACCGAUCGUAGUCCGGAUUGCACUCUGCAACUCGAGUGCAUGAAGUCGGAAUCGCUAGUAAUCGCAGGUCAGCAUACUGCGGUGAAUACGUUCCCGGGUCUUGUACACACCGCCCGUCACACCAUGGGAGUGGGGGAUACCAGAAGUA